GAUGCAACAGGGACAGAAGUCGAUGCAGAAAUAUUCAGCGACCUCAUUGGACAAGGCAAUGUGGUGCUGACUGUUUUCUCAAAUGAUGGUGAGCUUUAUUGAAUGUUUAUGUUGUGUUAUCAAGCAACUCUGGAUAAAUAUGAUAAAUUGGCUAUUUCUGAUUCUUGUGCUGGUCAUCACAAUAUUUGUAAUAUUUUAAUACUUUAUUUAGAAUUUUAAGACUCUUUGUCUUCUAUAUCUGAGAAGUCUGAAAAAAGCAACAGUUCAAGUGCAUCGACUGUAAUCUUUCAUGAGUUCCCUAACAAGAAACAAAGAAAAGAGGACACAUCUGCACUGUCUGCAAAACAGGCAACUCCCUACUUAAGCUAUCAGAGAACAGUAUGCUCUUGGCAUAGUGAUAGUGUUCCCUCAAAGAUCCAUAUUCCAAGAAAGGCUACGAACACUUUUAUGAUGCUGCAAGCAACAUAGGAUACAUUGCUUGGCAUAUGAAAACAGUCCACAG